AAGGGCGCACGGUGGAUGCCUUGACACUAGGAGUCGAUGAAGGACGGGACUAACGCCGAUAUGCUUCGGGGAGCUGUAAGUAAGCUUUGAUCCGAAGAUUUCCGAAUGGGGAAACCCACCAUACGUAAUGGUAUGGUAUCCUUAUCUGAAUACAUAGGGUAAGGAAGACAGACCCAGGGAACUGAAACAUCUAAGUACCUGGAGGAAGAGAAAGCAAAUGCGAUUUCCUGAGUAGCGGCGAGCGAAACGGAACAUAGCCCAAACCAAGAGGCUUGCCUCUUGGGGUUGUAGGACAUUCUAUACGGAGUUACAAAGGAACGAGGUAGACGAAGCGACCUGGAAAGGUCCGUCGUAGAGGGUAACAACCCCGUAGUCGAAACUUCGUUCUCUCUUGAAUGUAUCCUGAGUACGGCGGAACACGUGAAAUUCCGUCGGAAUCUGGGAGGACCAUCUCCCAAGGCUAAAUACUCCCUAGUGAUCGAUAGUGAACCAGUACCGUGAGGGAAAGGUGAAAAGCACCCCGGAAGGGGAGUGAAAGAGAUCCUGAAACCGUGUGCCUACAAAUAGUCAGAGCCCGUUAACGGGUGAUGGCGUGCCUUUUGUAGAAUGAACCGGCGAGUUACGAUCCCGUGCGAGGUUAAGCUGAAGAGGCGGAGCCGCAGCGAAAGCGAGUCUGAAUAGGGCGUUUAGUACGUGGUCGUAGACCCGAAACCAGGUGAUCUACCCAUGUCCAGGGUGAAGUUCAGGUAACACUGAAUGGAGGCCCGAACCCACGCACGUUGAAAAGUGCGGGGAUGAGGUGUGGGUAGCGGAGAAAUUCCAAUCGAACCUGGAGAUAGCUGGUUCUCCCCGAAAUAGCUUUAGGGCUAGCCUUAAGUGUAAGAGUCUUGGAGGUAGAGCACUGAUUGGACUAGGGGUCCUCAUCGGAUUACCGAAUUCAGUCAAACUCCGAAUGCCAAUGACUUAUCCUUAGGAGUCAGACUGCGAGUGAUAAGAUCCGUAGUCAAAAGGGAAACAGCCCAGACCGCCAGCUAAGGUCCCAAAGUGUGUAUUAAGUGGAAAAGGAUGUGGAGUUGCUUAGACAACUAGGAUGUUGGCUUAGAAGCAGCCACCAUUUAAAGAGUGCGUAAUAGCUCACUAGUCGAGUGACUCUGCGCCGAAAAUGUACCGGGGCUAAAUACACCACCGAAGCUGCGGAUUGAUACCAAUGGUAUCAGUGGUAGGGGAGCGUUCUAAGGACAGUGAAGUCAGACCGGAAGGACUGGUGGAGUGCUUAGAAGUGAGAAUGCCGGUAUGAGUAGCGAAAGACGGGUGAGAAUCCCGUCCACCGAAUGCCUAAGGUUUCCUGAGGAAGGCUCGUCCGCUCAGGGUUAGUCAGGACCUAAGCCGAGGCCGACAGGCGUAGGCGAUGGACAACAGGUUGAUAUUCCUGUACCACCUCUUUAUCGUUUGAGCAAUGGAGGGACGCAGAAGGAUAGAAGAAGCGUGCGAUUGGUU
rnacentral:rRNA from 1 species